UAGGUCGUUCCUGACUUCAGUUCUCCUCACAAGAAGACUAGCACUAUCCGUAGACAAGACAGCAUUGUGAUGAUUUUAGAACCUGGGAACGCGGCUGAAGCACCCUCCUGGACCACAGAUACUGAGGAGGACCACAAUAGAACUGUAAGAAGAGCGCCUACACUGACCGCACCUUCUGCCCUCGGGGCUGCACAAAAUCCACUGGAGACCUACGGUUUCUCCAGUGGGAAAAGAGACAAGGUGAACAUCGAGCUUCCCCAGUCUUGAGGGAUGCUUCCCAGGAGGGUCACUAGAGUCUCGCCUAAUGAGUAUCGCUGUGGGACUCUGUGGGGUUCUACCACCGGGAAUCAAAUGGAGACAGAGAAGGAGGCGGGGCUUACAACAGCCAGUACUCAGAACUCGGGGGACCGCGUGCCUGAUUGUAGUGGCGGCAGGCAGAGAUUCCAGCCAGUGGCUCUGCCCGUCCGCAGAGCCAAGUCAGUGACCCCAUCUGGCCAGGCUGCUCGGUUGGCAGUUCUGCCAGAUUUGGGUUCCCAUAAAAUGGGCUAUACUCGCCAGUGGAGCCUGGUCUACCACCCCGCCCAGGAAGGGAGGCAAAUUCGCAGCCCCGUCCAACUGUGGAGCAUAGGUUCCAGUGACGUCGAUUCCAGGAGCCUGGCCAGGGAACUAGGGCAGCCCUGGAGCCCAUUCUGCAGCCCCGCUUGGGCAGGGAGCCAAGCCAGCAGCCCUGCCCCAACUGUUGAGCAUAGUUUCUGGCCUCGCAUAACCAGGGAGCCUGAACAGUAACCCUGGGCAAACUCAGAGCCCAGCCCAGGGCACCACAGAGCUGGGGAGCCCAGCCUACAGCCCUGACCAGCAGCAGAGCAGCUUACCGCCUGCUGGAUUGCUGAAUAGUCUGAGGCCUCACCAGGCAGGGAGGCCAGCCAGUGACCUUGCCCAAUCGUGGAGCUUAGCCUGUGGCUAAACCCAAAAAAGGAGCCUGGACAGCGACCCCACGAGACCAUAGGGCACAGUCUCCAGCCCAACUUCCAGAUACAGCUGGAGGCUCCUCUGGACUGGUGAGCCAGGCCAGAGAACUUGCCCAGCAGCAGAGCACAGGCAGGGGUCUAUAGGACCUUGAACCCCCACCUACAGCUCAGUCCAACUCCUGGGUAUAGCCUGUAGCCCCACCUGAUUGCACAGCACAGCCUGAGGCCCUGCCUGUGGCCCCACAUGAAUCUGGAGUUCAGCCUGCAGCACCAUUUGGUCGGGGAACACAGCCUGAGAACCCACCCGGCCAGCAGUGAUUGUGGAGCCCAGCUCAUAGCCCUGCCCAAUCACGGAGUCCAACCAGUGGUACCCUCCUGCCAGGGAACACAGCCUGUGACCUGGUCCAACCAGAGGAAGAAGUCUACAUUGGUACGUACUGGAAGAUGAAGUGAGUUUGUUGUGGCAUGUGGGACGCUGCUUCAGCAUGGCCUGACAAGCGAUGCCGUGUCUGUGCCCAGGAUCCAAACCAGUAAAACCCCAGGCCGCCGAAGCUGAGCAUGUGAACUUAACCGCUUGGCUGCGGGGCCGGCCCCUACACCUUGUUUUAAAUGAGUUUAUCAGGUAAUGUCCUGAGAAUUUAUUUUGAUGGGGUGGAGGUAGAAAGAAUUUGAGGUCACUGGGUAUCUAGAAAGGAGGUGUUGGUGAUGGCUUAGUUCAUAGGACAAGGACUACUAAAAACAUGCUUAACCCUUUUCACCAUUUUACAAAGGACUGUUUUUGCCUUUAUAACUUUAACACAUGCCAAGCAUUUAGCCGUGUCAAUAUGAGUUUUAAUGCUGAUAAAUGUUUUUGAAACACACCAUAGUAAUGUGUUAGUGUUACAUAGAUGGGAAGGAAAAAGUUAAUUUUAGUUUAGCCUCCAAUAAAUGUUGACAAAGGAAAGAUCAGCAAGGGGGACCUUUUGCAUAUUAUCUGUC
ensembl:lncRNA